rnacentral:rRNA from 1 species
CCUACGGGAGGCAGCAGUGGGGAAUAUUGCACAAUGGGGGAAACCCUGAUGCAGCGACGCCGCGUGAGUGAAGAAGUAUUUCGGUAUGUAAAGCUCUAUCAGCAGGGAAGAAGCAAGACGGUACCUGACUAAGAAGCCCCGGCUAACUACGUGCCAGCAGCCGCGGUAAUACGUAGGGGGCAAGCGUUAUCCGGAUUUACUGGGUGUAAAGGGAGCGUAGACGGUAUGGCAAGUCUGAAGUGAAAGCCCAGGGCUUAACCCUGGGACUGCUUUGGAAACUGUUAGACUAGAGUGCUGGAGAGGUAAGUGGAAUUCCUAGUGUAGCGGUGAAAUGCGUAGAUAUUAGGAGGAACACCAGUGGCGAAGGCGGCUUACUGGACAGUAACUGACGUUGAGGCUCGAAAGCGUGGGGAGCAAACAGGAUUAGAUACCCCUGUA